rnacentral:RNase_P_RNA from 1 species
AUUCGCUCGCCAAAAGCGAGAGGAAAGUCCGGACACCACAGAGCGGAACUCCGUUUGAAAGGACGGGACGCCUACGGCAAACGUAGGCGUAUGGACAGUGCAGCAGAAAACAAACCGCCGCGCAAGCGGUAAGGGUGAAAAGGCGGAGUAAGAGACCACCGCCGUCGGAGCAAUCCUGACGGGCAUUGAAAACCCAGUUCGGUGCAAGACAACGUAGGGUGUGGAGUUGCUCGCUCAUAACACAUCGGGUAUGUCGCACUCCGAAAGGAGGCGCGGAAUCGGGAGCAAUCCCUCCGCGCAGAUAAAUGAAUGUCGAUUCUUCGGAAUUACAGAAUCCGGCUUAUGCUCC